AGUGAACGCUGGCGGUAGGCCUAACACAUGCAAGUCGAACGGCAGCACAGUAAGAGCUUGCUCUUACGGGUGGCGAGUGGCGGACGGGUGAGGAAUACAUCGGAAUCUACUUUUUCGUGGGGGAUAACGUAGGGAAACUUACGCUAAUACCGCAUACGACCUACGGGUGAAAGCAGGGGAUCUUCGGACCUUGCGCGAUUGAAUUAGCCGAUGCCGGAUUAGCUAGUUGGCGGGGUAAAGGCCCACCAAGGCGACGAUCCGUAGCUGGUCUGAGAGGAUGAUCAGCCACACUGGAAGUGAGACACGGUCCAGACUCCUACGGGAGGCAGCAGUGGGGAAUAUUGGACAAUGGGCGCAAGCAUGAUCCAGCCAUACCGCGUGGGUGAAGAAGGCCUUCGGGUUGUAAAGACCUUUUGUUGGGAAAGAAAAGCAGCAGGUUAAUACCACGCUGUUCUGACGGUACCCAAAGAAUAAGCACCGGCUAACUUCGUG
rnacentral:rRNA from 1 species